rnacentral:lncRNA from 1 species
AAAUAUAUCCAUGGCUUUGAAUUAACCUCUACCAAAUAAAUUUAGUUACACAUUAUUAACAAAUUAAACCAAAAGUUAAACAUGAGUUUAGGAAAAUAGAACCGAAAUAAGAGAGUGCAGAGGUUUCUUCCUCUCUGUCUUUCACGCUCACGUCUGACUGUCACUCUGCUGCCCUCGGCUUCCGUUUCUUCCUCUCUGUCGGUUUUCUGCUGCCGCAAGGCAGCUGUCUGCCUUCUGUCCUCCCUCUGACUUGCAAUCCCGCGCCCUCUCCCUCCUUUUAUUUCUUUUCCUGCUCCAUUUUCCAGUCCCCCCUCUGCUGUCUCUCACGCUGCCCCCCAAAGGCAGCUUCCUGUCAGUUCUCUUUUUAUUUCCUCCAGCCCCCUGUCAGUCUCCCCUACUCGUUCCCUUUAUUAUUCUUCCUAUUCUGCUGUCCGUGUCAGCCUCUCAAUCCCGUCCCAUUUGUAGCAUUUUCUAUUAUUUUCUUUUCAGCCAGCACAAUCCACUUCUUUCUUUUUAUUCUUCUUUUCCUUUUCUUAUUACUUCCACUCUUCUUUGUCUACUGUUUUUCUUUUCUUUCUGUCUCAGUGCUCUCUCUCUUCUGCCUGUUUUAUUUAUGUUCUUUUCUUUCCGCCAGUCUCCCACUCCUCUCUGUCAGUGUUUCCACUUUUCUUCCUUUUAAUUGAAAUUGAUCAUAAAACACAUUUAACUGCACAAUAACACAAGGUAAGGUAAAAUGCCACAAUUUUAACACAAAAACAUCACAAAGACUUUAGAAAUAAAUGGUAUAAAUGCAUGAAAUAUAUGAGUGAUCAAAUACCCCCAAACUUACAUUUUUGCUAGUCCUCGAGCAAAACGAAGAAAACAAGAACAAGAAGUAACAAGAAAAACAUUAGCUUCCCUCUAUGUGACCUUCAUAGAAUUUCAUUUAAGAAAACAAAUCAUCAAGAACCAUAGCUAGCAUCAAGGAACUAAUCCAAGUUCAUCUUCCUAAUUCAAAUAUUAGCAAUAAUCUUUGAAUCAUCCUUGAAGUGUAGUGUGUGAGAUAGCCAUGCUAAUGCAAUUUCAAGUUUUUUAUUUUUAAAAUCAUCAUAUGCAAAUUAGCGACCAUCUCACGGGAUAUGCACUCAAUCACAACAUGUGUUUAGUUUUAAUGUGUUUCGCUCAAAGAAUCAAAUGUGAAAUUUCUACCAUAAGCUUGCAUAAAGAUCACUUCUCCACAGUCAUAAUUGCAAAACUUAAAUCAAGAGGACUUUUAUUGGAUGUAAUGAGGUUUAGGGAUAGGGUUAUUGAAACGAUAGAAUAGGAAAACACAAGUUCCAAGCUACAUUGCAAGCAAUUCUUUUCUUUAGAUUUAUAAGAACUCAAGCUCUCCAGCAAUUCUUCUAGCACCUCCAACCACACCCUAAAACUGAAACUUUAAAAACUUUUUAUUUCAUUUGUAUACAAUCUUUCUUUUUCUUUUCUCUUUUUUUUUUUAUUUUUUUAUUUUUUUUUUAUUUUUUAUUUUUUUUAUUUUUUAAUUUAUACAAACAUGAAAUACCCCCACACUUAUUCUUUUGCCAAACACCUUCAGAGUACUUCACAAACGUUUCUCAUAAGACAAUCUCGCAUUGCUCGCUUGGAAAGGGUAAGGAAAAAAUUUCAGGUAUAAGGGUAGACAUAUCUUGGUGAUAAGAAAUAAAAAGGCUCAACAUACACGGCUCAAAUUGGCAAUCUAUAUGAUAUCAUUUUCUUUGGGAAACAUGGUUAUUUGGGUCAUAGUGGUAAACCUAAUGCCUCUAUCAUUUCCAAGUUCAUGCAGUCAAUGACAACAUUUCGAAAGAUCGUUACGCAAGUUCUAGAGAUGUAUCUCACAUAAGUUCAUCACACAUAAAAAAAUAGGAGUGUAUGAAAAAUGCACACACUUUCAAUAGGCUCAAAAACUCACAUAGGAUGUAUAUGGUCACUAAAUUCACAUAUGAAGCUUUAAGUCAUGCUUUAGUUUCACAUCAACAAGGCUAUGUGCAUUUGGUUUUUCAAAGAUGAUCAAACAUGUACAAAACUAACAAGAGAAUUAGGAAUUUCACAAAACACAUGUUAACUAAGUUCUUUGAUGAUCAUGGUUCAAAAUUUGAUCCAAUUAUAUCAUUGGGUCGGGAAACUAACAAAAAUCUAAUUCAAAACAAUAAGGGAAACCAGACAAUAUUUUUGGAUUUUUAAAUUUUCUGAUUUUUUUUUUAAUUUUUUUUUUAUAUAUAUAUAUAUAUUUUUUUUAUUAUUAUUUAAAAGAAAACAAAACUAAUUAAGAAAACAAAAAGCAACAACAUGGAAACAAAUGAAACUCGUUCGUAGUUGAAGGUACAAAAAAAAUUUCAAUUUGGUCAUUUUUUAUACUCUUUACCCCCAAACUUAAACUGGACAUUGUCCCCAAUGUCAGAAACACUAUAAUGCAAUUAAAAAUAAAAUAAAUAAAUAAUAAGAAACAAAAUAAAGCAAUUGGACUGAAAACUUCCCUAGUUUGCAGUAAAACCAAGCGAUGACCCCCCAAGCUAAAAUUCUGCAAUCAACUUCAAGGGUGGAAAGAACCAAAAGUUCCUGCAAAGAAAAGAAAUAAUUCAGUUAAGUAACGCAAGAAAAUGUAAAAUUGAAAAUCACGAUAAAAGACAAUGAAUAGAACUAAUAAGUGAUCAUUGGUCGUGCUUGUUGACUUUCCACAGCUUUCCUCUUGAACGGGGUGACACUUAGCUUUUUACUUGCAAGUGAUGAUUUGAUGAUAUUGUACGGCGAAGCUUUGCUCUUUGGUGAUGUUGUUGAAGCUUCUUGAGUUCUUCAACUCAGAUUCCUUCUGCUCUCGAGUUGAUUGUGCAGGCUCAAUUCCUUUUUUGUUCUCCAAGCAGAUGUGGCAGCUUCUCUAGUUCUUCAUCUCAGACUCCUUCUGCUUGGAUGAUUGUGCAAGCUGCAUUCUUCUCUGCUUGUUUCUUCUGCACGACGGGCAGGCACGAGGGAAAGGUGUUGGUCUGUUUCUUUCUUCAAUCUUUCCAAGUGCCCACCUCUUGCUCUCUUUCUCCUUGUCCUUAGUUGAGGAUGAAUCAGCACGUUGUCUCCACAUGCUUCGAGGUAUCAUCUUCACUUCCCUUAGACGUGAGAGACGAAGCGAAGGCAUAAGAUGAUGAGUACUCGAGAGCAGGUGCUGACUGGAGAAAGGACAGGGAGAAAGCAUGAUAUGAGAUACUCGUGCUCUCAACCUUUAUGAUAUGAAAUACUUGUGCUCUGGAUGGGUUGUUUGCAGGGGUAUCCCAGGGGAUGAAAAAUACAGAGUGACUCGAGAGGGUUCUUUGGGAAUGCAUUCUCGGAGAUGAAGAAGUGCUGAGAGGGUGUGCCUUUGCUGUGGGAAGGCGAAGGUAGACACUUAUAGGACUUUUCUUCACAACCGGAAAUAUUCCCUCACUCAUUGUCGGCAGCCGGUGGGAUGGAUGAAUAGUACAAAUUACGCGCUUUCUGACAAAGCUGCCCGUAAUUUCCGCAAAACUGCCAGUUGCAUGUGACGAGUGAUGACACGUCUGGACAAAUUGAUCUUUUGAAAUCUGGGGUUCGGCUCGUGGUUUCUGAGCAAGCCCAAAUUUUAAGAAAUGAAACGCCUCUUUUGAGAAAAGAAUCCGACUUUUGAGAAAGGAGCCCCGACUCUUCGAUUUGCGAGAGGACGCUUCUCUGAGGAGCGCCUCUUUGAUUUCUUUUUUAUAGAGGCGUUAAUUUUGUUCCACAACACACUUGAGCUCUCUCCUGUAAACACUCCCUUCUUGCACUUCCAAAAUCUUAAUCAGUCCGACUCUCUUCUUUCUUCACCACCUCUGAAAAAUGUCUGGCCCUUCCGAUCGUCGUUUUGACUUGAACAUUGGUGAAGAGGCAGCUCCGCCUUCACCAGACAACAUAUGGCGCCCAUCCUUCAUAUCCCCUACUGGUCCUCUUACCGUUGGGAUUCGGUGAUGAAAAAAUGACAUGACCGCUGCGGUGGUGGCCCGGAACCUUGUCACCCCCAGAGAUAACAGACUGCUCGCUAGACGGUCUGAUGAAUUGGCGGUUAAGGAGUCUCUGGCUCUUAGCGUGCAGUGUGCUGGUUCUGUGUCCAACAUGGCCCAACGCCUAUUUGCUCGAACCCGUCACGUUGAAUCGUUGGUGGCUGAAAUACAGAGUCUCAAAGAGGAGAUUAGAGGACUCAAGCAUGAAAAUAAACAAUUGCACAAGCUUGCACACAAUUAUGCCACAAACAUGAAGAGGAAAAUUGACCAGCUGCAGGAAAAUGAUAGUCAGAUUUUACUUGAUCACCGGAGGUUUGUGGGUUUGUUCCAACCGCAUCUGCCUUCGUCUUCUGGGGCGGCACCGCGUAGUGAAGCUCCAACUGAUCAACCUCUGUUGCCUCCUCCUUCUGUGGCCCCGCCGACUGCUGAAGCUCCGCCGACUACUGAAGCACCACCUGACCAAUGAAUGCUAUUAGUUUACACAUCAUUGUAAAAUAUUUUUUACUUUUAUGUUUUUUUUUUUUUUUUUUUUUUUUUUUUAAAUCAAUGUAAAAUAUGUAAAUCAAUGUAAAAAGACUUUGUUUAACCUUCCCCCACACUUAAACUAAAUAACACAAACUCACAGAAAUCAACCAAAUAACACAACUAACUGAACAAAACAAAAUGAAAGCAGUAAAGAUAAGGGUGUAAGAAUGCAAAUCUGAUUUGGUUAGCGAUUCCAAAGUCUCCCUUCGUUGAAUGCUUGGGUUGCCUCCCAAGAAGCGCUUGAUUUAACGUCUUUAGCCGGACGAAUCUUUCCUUUAAACUCCACUCUGCUCCAAAGCAUGGAAUUUAUCUUUUAAUGGGAGGUGAUACUUGAAAUGAUUCGGCAAUGGUUUAAAUUCAAGAGUGGGUGCCUGAAUCAUUAAAAUCAGAAACAUGUUAGUAUAAAUUAAAAUUGAAAUUGGAGAAGAUGGCUUACUUUCUUUUUCCGACACAAACUCAAUGACAAACACCACAUCUUUGAACAUUUCCGGGACUUUGAACUUGGCCAGGUUUACUAUGAUGGUUGUGGCUUGUCCCGUGUCAUCAAACUCAACUGCUUUGUGCUUGAUUGUCUCAUGCACAACCUCUUGGAUGUAUUCUUGAUAUGCUUCAACCACUUCAUUCUCUUGAAUCCCUUUUCUUGGUGUGCAAGGUUCUUUGAACGUUUCAAUACCAUCGGGAACUUGUUUUGGUGCACCAAGAAUUGGGAUAUCACUUUGCACCUUUGGAAGAGCUUCCACAAUGUCUUUUUCACUCUCUUUGAUAUUUGGAAUAAAAAACCUGCAAGGACAAAAGACAUUCGGUGGAAUAAUGUUAGAAUGAAGUGAAUUUAGAACUUCCUCACCUGAGUUGGAUGACAUAGGGAUUUGAGGAGCUUGCAGCAAAAAUUCUUCUAAACUGCCCAGGUCGUCCUCCUCCUCUUCUGCUUGCAGCAGCAAUUCAUCCAUGUUCGGGCUGUGUUUGGAUAGUUCUGGGACAGCUUCAUCCUUCAUGUCACCUUCCAAAGUGAUAGCAUCGUGGAUUUCAAAAUCUUCCUUCGAAUUUUCAACACUUGAGCUAGAGAGUUCACUUUGCUCUUGAAUUUGUACCAUGAAUUCCAUAAUCUCUCCCAUUUGACUCAUCAAUUUAUCCAACUUCUUGUCUUGAUUUUGUUGGUCCUGCGUCAAAGAGGUUAGUACUUGAAGAAUUUGAUCACUAUCCAUGGACACCCUUGAAGUUGAUUGGAAUUGUUGUGGGGUAUGCGGUGGUGGCUGCAUAGGCGUUAAAUAAAACUCCUCAGAUUGCUGCCAAUAUCCAUCUUGUUGAGCCUCCUUGGCUUGAUUUUAUGAGCCCUGCACCAAAGAAUUUAAUUCAUCAAAAAUUUGAUUGUAAUCUAUUGACGAAUCUGAGUUUGAUUGGGCAUAUUGUAUAUGAGGUUGUGAAUAGAACUCCUCCUCUUGCUGCCAAUAUCCAUUUUGUUGGAAUUGUUGAGGUUCCUCCCACAUAUAAUUUGAAUGAUCUCUCCAAGCCGAAUUGUAAGCGUUGGAAAACAUGUUGUUGCUUGGUUGAUCAUAGCCUUGAUAACCCCAAGCAUCUUCGUUCACAGUGAAUUGAGGAUGUUGAUAUCCUUGCCCAUAGGGCACAUCAAAUGUAGGGACACUUGGCAUUGUGGUCCGUUCGGCAUUAUGAGUCAAUUGAGCAGUGAGCUGUGCCAAUUGAGCUUGAAUGGUCGCAAGUGCCAUGUCUUGCUCCAUUUGUACCUAAAAUCAAAGAAAGAAAAAUAAAUCAAAUAUCAAAAGUAAAAUACACAAACACCAAUAUAAACAUAAACAAAAACAAAAAUAAAAAUAAAGGGAUUAGCAAAGUUGCUAAUCCCCGGCAACGGCGCCAAAAUUUGAUGUGAGAAUUACUUGACACACAAAUUAAACCCUCUUUUUGACAAUUGUAGUAUAGAUGUAAGUAGGGUAUCGUUCUAGGCCGGGGAUUAGGAGGGAUUGCUAAUCUAUUCUAAAUUAAUUUAAAAAAUAUUAAACAAGACUCAAGGACACAAAACUAGGCUAAAAACUCUAAUAACUCGAAACACACUUAGAAUGACUCAAAAUAAUGAAAACAAUCAAAUUAGACACUAGGAACUGAAAUGGACGGAAAUUGAAUUAAAAGACUAACAACAAUGAAAACUAACUAAAUAAUAUAAUUUAAUAAUGGGGGGGGGUUUGGUUUUGACGAGAAGUAAAUUAAACUUAAAUAAAUUACAGAAUUGACAAAAGCAUGAAAUUAAGGUGAAAGGAUAGAUGACGGACUAGCUAGAGGGUUUUUCUCCACACAUGACACAUAUGCAGCCUAAAUUGAUUUUCAGUUGUUCUUUCAAUAAAUUGUGAAUGACAAUGUUCCAAGUUAAUUAGGUCUGCUUAAAUUAACUCUUAGAUUUCCCUAGAUUCAUUGGAUUGAAUGGAAUACGCAUUACAACCAAAUUAUUCCUCAUCAAAGUCCCUAACUAUGGAAUACGCAUGAUAGAGACAUUCAACAAAGAUCAUUAAGUUCAACGGAAAUCAUAAACAUUGACUAGGCAUUCAUAACUAUGGAAUACGCAUGUUAAUCCAGCCUAGAAUUCACUUAACACGAUUGUGGAUAACAACCUUCACUACUUGUGAAUAUAAGUUCAUAAAGAUUAGGUGAAAUUCACUUAUAUUCUAGCAUCAAAUUCAUGCAUGUAAAUUAAGUAUGCAUUCUUAAUCGACAUACAAAAAUAAGUUAUCAAUCAAGCAGUUAAGCAAAUUAAAUCACAACUCAGAAAUCACAACUGAAGGUAAUCAAUUCAUAUUACAAAUAUAUCCAUGGCUUUGAAUUAACCUCUAGCCAAAAUAAAUUUAGUUACACAUUAUUAACAAAUUAAACCAAAAGUUAAACAUGAGUUUAGGAAAAUAGAACCGAAAUAAGAGAGUGCAGAGGUUUCUUCCUCUCUGUCUUUCACGCUCACGUCUGACUGUCACUCUGCUGCCCUCGGCUUCCGUUUCUUCCUCUCUGUCGGUUUUCUGCUGCCGCAAGGCAGCUGUCUGCCUUCUGUCCUCCCUCU